GUCUCGAUUUGCUGUGGGCAGAUGAAAUGAAUAUGGCUGUCGAUUGCACCGGCAGUAACGAUGUGCCCCUCACCGGCAAUGGCCUCAGUGCCUGGGCCGAUCACAAUGUCAACCCCGUCAGUGAUGUCGGGGUUGCCAGCUUUGCCGAUGGCAACGAUUUGCCCGUCGCGUAGACCGAUAUCUGCUUUCACGAUUCCCCACCAGUCGAGGAUCAGGGCAUUGGUGAUUACGGUGUCAACAGCACCAUUUGCGCGAGAUUGUUGGGAUUGCCCCAUACCAUCGCG
rnacentral:sRNA from 1 species